AUAUUUCAGCAGCAUACACACUAAAAUCAUAAUGAUACAGGAGAGGUCAGCAUGGCCCCUGAGAAGGAUAACAUGCAAAUUCAUAAAAGAUUUCACACUUUU